NNNNNNNNNNNNNNNNNNNNNNNNNNNNNNNNNNNNNNNNNNNNNNNNNNUGGCGCGGGGGGAGGUGGGGGGGGAGACCCUUGUGGCCGGCCUCUCCUCGCCUGGGUCUCCCCCUCUCUCUCCAUCCCUCUCUCCAUCUAUCCCUGCCUCCAUCUCCCCUCUCCCGCCACCGUUCCUCCAUCCCUCCUUCCAUCUCCCCAUCCCUCUCUCCCUCUAUCCUCUCUGUCCAUCCAUCUCUCCAUCCCUCCUCCAUCUCUCCAUCCCUCCUUCCAUCUCCCCAUCCCUCUCUCCCUCUAUCCUCUCUGUCCAUCCAUCUCUCCAUCCCUCCUCCAUCUCUCCAUCCCUCCUUCCAUCUCCCCAUCCCUCUCUCCCUCUAUCCUCUCUGUCCAUCCAUCUCUCCAUCCCUCCUCCAUCUCUCCAUCCCUCCUUCCAUCUCCCCAUCCCUCUCUCCCUCUAUCCUCUCUGUUCAUCCAUCUCUCCAUCCCUCCUCCAUCUCUCCAUCCCUCCUUCCAUCUCCCAUCCCUCUCUCCCUCUAUCCUCUCUGUUCAUCCAUCUCUCCAUCCCUCCUCCAUCUCUCCAUCCCUCUCUCCCUCUAGCCUCUCUGUUCAUCCCUCCAUCUCUCUCUCCAUCCCUCCAUCCUCUUUUCAUCACGCCACCCAUCCCUCUCAUCCACCGCCACCUCCUGCCAUCCUUCUCCCUCCCUCCUACACCUCCCUCCAUCUCCUCUACCCCUCCGCUGCUCCCUCAUCCGUCCCACCAUCCCUCUCUCCCUGCCUCCGUCCCUCUCCCUUCCUCCCUCCAUCCCUUCCUCUCUUCCUCCAUCUCCUCCUGCCAUCUCUUCUCCUCCCUCCCUCUCGCCAUCCCUCCCACGCUCUGCCCGGCCCUCUCUCCUUUCCCUUCUCUCUCCCUCCAUUUCCUCUCUCCAUCCCGCCCUCCCUCCACCCUCUCCCCGUCCCGCACCCACAUCCGCGUGUGCGAGGAGGGGGCGCAGCGGGCAAGGACCGGGGUGCGGGAGGUGGAACAGCGAGCCCUGUGCAGGGUGCCG
rnacentral:lncRNA from 1 species